GACGAACGCUGGCGGCGUGCUUAACACAUGCAAGUCGAACGGAAAGGCCCUGCUUUUGUGGGGUGCUCGAGUGGCGAACGGGUGAGUAACACGUGAGUAACCUGCCCUUGACUUUGGGAUAACUUCAGGAAACUGGGGCUAAUACCGGAUAGGAGCUCCUGCCGCAUGGUGGGGGUUGGAAAGUUUCGGCGGUUGGGGAUGGACUCGCGGCUUAUCAGCUUGUUGGUGGGGUAGUGGCUUACCAAGGCUUUGACGGGUAGCCGGCCUGAGAGGGUGACCGGCCACCUUGGGACUGAGAUACGGCCCAGACUCCUACGGGAGGCAGCAGUGGGGAAUAUUGCACAAUGGGCGGAAGCCUGAUGCGGCAACGCCGCGUGCGGGAUGACGGCCUUCGGGUUGUAAACCGCUUUCGCCUGUGACGAAGCGUGAGUGACGGUAAUGGGUAAAGAAGCACCGGCUAACUACGUG
rnacentral:rRNA from 1 species